rnacentral:rRNA from 1 species
AGUCGUACGAGAGUUUUUAACUCAAGUGGCGGACGGGUGAGUAACACGUAAGAAUUUGCCUUUAGGAGGGGGACAACAACUGGAAACGGUUGCUAAUACCCUAUGCUUUCGAGUGAAAUGGAUUUUUCCGCCUAGAGAGAAGCUUGCGGCUGAUUAGCUUGUUGGUGAGGUAAUGGCUCACCAAGGCGACGAUCAGUAUCUGGUUUGAGAGGACGAUCAGACACACUGGAACUGAGACACGGUCCGGACUCCUACGGGAGGCAGCAGUGGGGAAUUUUCCGCAAUGGGCGAAAGCCUGACGGAGCAAUACCGCGUGAGGGAUGACGCUAUGGGUUGUAACUCUUUUUUCAGGAGAAUAAAAUGACGUGUACCUGAAGAAUAGCAUCGCU